UAACACUAACUGGAGGACCGAACCGACUAAUGUUGAAAAAUUAGCGGAUGACUUGUGGCUGGGGGUGAAAGGCCAAUCAAACCGGGAGAUAGCUGGUUCUCCCCGAAAGCUAUUUAGGUAGCGCCUCGUGAAUUCAUCUCCGGGGGUAGAGCACUGUUUCGGCAAGGGGGUCAUCCCGACUUACCAACCCGAUGCAAACUGCGAAUACCGGAGAAUGUUAUCACGGGAGACACACGGCGGGUGCUAACGUCCGUCGUGAAGAGGGAAACAACCCAGACCGCCAGCUAAGGUCCCAAAGUCAUGGUUAAGUGGGAAACGAUGUGGGAAGGCCCAGACAGCCAGGAUGUUGGCUUAGAAGCAGCCAUCAUUUAAAGAAAGCGUAAUAGCUCACUGGUCGAGUCGGCCUGCGCGGAAGAUGUAACGGGGCUAAACCAUGCAC
rnacentral:rRNA from 2 species